AUUGAACGCUGGCGGCAGGCCUAACACAUGCAAGUCGAGCGGAUGAAGGGAGCUUGCUCCUGGAUUCAGCUGCGGACGGGUGAGUAAUGCCUAGGAAUCUGCCUGGUAGUUGGGGAUAACGUCCGUACACGGGCGCUAAUACCGCAUACGUCCUGAUGUAGAACGUGGGGGAUCUUCGGACCUCACGCUAUCAGCUGAGCCUAGGUCGGAUUAGCUAGUUGGUGGGGUAAAGGCCUACCAAGGCGACGUUCCGUAACUGGUCUGAGAGGAUGAUCAGUCACACUGGAACUGAGACAAGGUCCAGACUCCUAAGGGAGGCAGGAGUGGGGAAUAUUGGACAAAGGGCGAAAGCCUGAUACAGCCAAGGCGCGUGUGUGAAGAAGGUCUUCGGAUUGUAAAGCACUUGAAGUUGGGAGAAAAGGAAGUAAGAUAAAACCUUGCUGUUUUGAAGUUACCAAAAGAAUAAGCACCGGCUAAAUUAGUG
rnacentral:rRNA from 1 species